CUCCGCCUUCUUCUUCGACAAGUGCGCCUUCUCAUGGAGUCCGCUGCCGCCCUCCGAUCGACGCACCUCCGCCUCGCCGUCGCCGUCGCCACCCCUUGCCGACGCCGAAACCCUUGCCACCGCGUGCGGCCGACCAUCGUCGAUAGCUUGGGGACUGGGUUCGCUCGAUGAUCAUGGCGCUCAUUUCUCGCCUCAUUUCCAAGUCCCGGCAGGUUAAAAGUUAAGCUGAAGCAGCUAGCUAAGCGAGUGAGCAGUAUGUACUUUCUGAACAACAUCAUGAACAGGAGGGAAGUCUCGAGGACAUCAAGUCAAACCUUGUGAGGCCAGUCAAAUGGUAAAAUGCAGGGACAACCAAAUAGAGAGAACAUCAAAAGCCCCCACUCUCCACACACAUGAGUAGGCCAGUGCCUAUACCCUUGUUCAACAGAGUGAAUUUUGUUUGCCUUCUUAAAAUUCU